CACCGCCCGUCGCUACUACCGAUUGAAUGGCUCAGUGAGGCCUUCGGACUAGCUCAGGGGGGUUGGCAACGACCGCCCAGAGCCGGAAAGUUGGUCAAACUUGGUCAUUUAGAGGAAGUAAAAGUCGUAACAAGAGGUUUCCGUAGGUGAACCUGCGGAAG
rfam:Ajellomyces capsulatus G186AR genomic scaffold supercont2.2, whole genome shotgun sequence.